rnacentral:lncRNA from 1 species
CUCAGCCCUGUGAAUUUCAGGGGCUGAUGAAAUUGCUCCUCUGCUCCGGCUCUCUCCCUGCCAGGAAUGAAUAAAUGGGGCGGGGGCGGCCGGAAGAAUCAAAUGCCAGCUAUCUGACAGACAGGUGCCUUCUUGAGUGCUACGGAUACAACAAGGCAAGAAACUGAAGACCUUCCAUACCCAAGAAUUGAUCCUGGAUGAAAUCAAUAACUUCAGGAAAGUCCGGGGUCACUGAGAGGACAAGGCGGCCAACUGAGAC